UACGAAUGGGGCAAGCGUUGUUCGGAAUCACUGGGCUUAAAGCGUGCGCAGGCGGUUUUGCAAGUCAGAAGUGAAAGCCCAGGGCUCAACCCUGGAAUUGCUUUUGAAACUGCAAAACUAGAAUAUGGGAGAGGUUAGCAGAAUUCCGAGUGUAGAGGUGAAAUUCGCAGAUAUUCGGAGGAAUACCAGUGGCGAAGGCGGCUAACUGGACCAUUAUUGACGCUCAGGCACGAAAGCGUGGGGAGCAAACAGG
rnacentral:rRNA from 1 species